AUUGAACGCUGGCGGCAGGCCUAACACAUGCAAGUCGAACGCGUGGCGGACGGGUGAGUAAUGUCUGGGAAACUGCCUGAUGGAGGGGGAUAACUACUGGAAAAGGUAGCUAAAACCGCAUACCAUAGGAUGUGCCCAGAUGGGAUUAGCUAGUCGGUGGGGUAAAGGCGCACCUAGGCGACGAUCCCUAGCUGGUCUGAGAGGAUGACCAGCGAAACUGGAACUGAGAGACGGUCCAGACUCCUACGGGAGGCCGCAGUUGGGAAUAUUGCACAAGGGGCGCAAGCCUGAUGAAGCCAUGCCGCGUGUAUGAAGAAGGCCUGCGGGUUUUAAAGUACUUUCAGCGGGGAGGCGUUACCCGCAGAAGAAGCACCGGCUAACUCCGUGCCAGCAGCCGCGGUAAUUC
rnacentral:rRNA from 1 species